rnacentral:rRNA from 1 species
AGAAUCAACGCUGGCGGCGUGCCUAACACAUGCAGGUCGAACGAGAAAGUGGGAGCAAUCCCACGAGUAAAGUGGCGCACGGGUGAGUAACACGUGACUAACCUACCCUUGAGUGGGGGAUAACCUAGGGAAACCUGGGCUAAUACCGCAUAAUACCUACGGGUCAAAGGAGCAAUUCGCUUAAGGAGGGGGUCGCGGCAGAUUAGUUAGUUAGCGGGGUAAUGGCCCACCAAGACAGUGAUCUGUA